GCGGGUGUAGUUCAGCGGUAGAACAUCUCCCUGCCGAGGAGAAGGUCACGGGUUCGAGCCCCGUUGCCCGCU
rnacentral:tRNA from 1 species